UCGAGAGGCUUCGGCAAUGGGGGAAACCCUGACCGAGCGACGCCGCGUGGGGGAUGAAGGCCCUUGGGUUGUAAACCCCUUUUAUUCGGGAAGAAAUGUGAUCAGGUGAAUAAUCUGGUCACUUGACGGUACCGGAUGAAUAAGCUCCGGCUAACUCCGUGCCAGCAGCCGCGGUAACACGGGGGGAGCAAGCGUUGUUCGGAAUCACUGGGCGUAAAGGGCGUCUAGGCGGUCAGGUAAGUGGGAUGUGAAAUCCCUCGGCUCACCCGAGGACCGGCAUCUCAUACUGCUUGGCUUGAGUACGGGAGAGGAUGUGGGAAUUCCUGGUGUAGCGGUGAAAUGCGUAGAUAUCAGGAGGAACACCGGUGGCGAAGGCGCACAUCUGGCCCGAUACUGACGCUGAAGCGCGAAAGCUAGGGGAGCAAACG
rnacentral:rRNA from 1 species